GGCUGGUCUGAAGGUAGAGUUAUCUCAAUUGAUUGUUUAUGGUUAUAGACCUGAACCCUUAUUCUAUUCUUUCCCCCGCCUCACUACUUCACUUGACUAGUCUUAU
rnacentral:Y_RNA from 1 species